GAACUGCUGAAGAGUCCCACAAUAGGACGAGAUGACCGUCCAAUGC
rnacentral:hammerhead_ribozyme from 1 species